ACCCACAAGACCCAGGAAAAGAGGAUGCCAAACAUUUAUUGUUGCAUGCACAGCCAGGAUUCUACAAUGGGCCUUGCACACAGAGCCACUGCUUAUUCUCCCAGGGAUCUAAACAACAGGUACAAGCCUGGCCAGACUCACAAGCAUGAAAUCAUUCUCCAACUCUCUGCCUGUCCCCUUUAAUCCACAGAAACUUAGGAAGAGUAGGCUGAAAAAGUUUUCAAGGCAAACAAUCCAAAAAGGCUCUUUACAACAGGCAUACAGAGCAAGGCUCUGUUAACAGCUGUACUCACUUUUGUAUCAGAGAAACAAACACUUAUUUUCAUUUUAAGUCAAACCCUUUUUUUUUUCCCUCAAACACCAAGGAAAAACAGGACUUGUUUCCUGAAAUAAAUUUCCCAAAUUUACUAAAAAAUUAAUCUGAUAAAAGCUUUAUACUGUCCACAUUAGAAAGAGGAUGCAAAAUGAAAACCUUAACAAUUAUUUAAUCCAAAAGACUGGUCAUGUUGAAAAGGGAACCUAGAGCAAUCCUAAAUGACAAACUAUACAAAGAGAGUGAUAUUACAGGAAGGGUGUUUAAAGGCAUGGAUGGACGAAUGGAAAAGCACAGGCUUACAGAAAGGAAGCCUUUCAGAACACAUACAAGGAAGAACACUGGAGUCCAGUGAAAGAGGGACAGAGGAUACAGAAAUGUUAUCACAGGAGAGCUACUGUUUGUUAGAAAGGGACAUUCAAUUCCUUGUUUGUCAGUAACUUGGGGUUUGUUAUAACAGAAGCAUUUGGCCAAUUAAUGACAUCAGUGCUGACGCACUUGCUAAACCUCUUUUGGUUAGUCUGUUAGGCUACUAAAAAAUGCCAAGUCUGGUCUAACAUAUG